GAUGAAGAACGUAGCGAAAUGCGAUACGUAGUGUGAAUUGCAGAAUUCAGUGAAUCAUCGAAUCUUUGAACGCACAUUCACCUCUCGGUAUUCCGGGAGGUAUGCCUGUUCGAGCGUCAUUUGUACCCUCAAGCUCUGCUUGGUGUUGGGUGUUUGUUCCGCCUCUGUGUGUGAACUCGCCUCAAAACAAUUGGCAGCCGGCGUACUUGUUUCGGAGCGCAGCACAUUUUGCGAUCCAGAUCAACGUACAGCGGCAUCCAAGAAGCCUUAUUUAACGCUCUUGACCUCGGAUCAGGUAGGGAUACCCGCUGAACUUAAGCAUAUCAAUAAGCGGAGGA
rnacentral:misc_RNA from 1 species